UGGGUAACCUGCCCUGUACACACGGAUAACAUACCGAAAGGUAUGCUAAUACGAGAUAAUAUGUUUUGAUCGCAUGGUCGAGACAUCAAAGCUCCGGCGGUACAGGAUGGACCCGCAUCUGAUUAGCUAGUUGGCGAGGUAAUGGCUCACCAAGGCGACGAUCAGUAGCCGACUGAGAGGUAAUCGGCCACAUUGGAACUGAGACACGGUCCAAACUNUACGGGA
rnacentral:rRNA from 1 species